rnacentral:rRNA from 1 species
ACUCAAAGGAAUAGACGGGAACCCGCACAAGCAGUGGAGCAUGUGGUUUAAUUCGACGGUAAGCGAGGAACCUUACCAAGGCUUGACAUGUCUGGAAUCUCCCGGAAACGGGAGAGUGCCGCAAGGAACCAGAACACAGGUGUUGCAUGGUUGUCGUCAGCUCGUGUCGUGAGAUGUUGGGUUAAGUCCUCUAACGAGCGCAACCCUCGUCCUCUGUUAUAUAUUCCGAGGAUACUGCCUGGGUUCAACCAGGAGGAAGGUGGGGAUGACGUCAAAUCAGCAUGGCCCUUACGCCUUGGGCUACACACGUGCUACAAUGGCCAGUACAAUGGGUCGCAAAACAGUAAUGUGAAGCUAAUCCCAUCAAAACUGGUCCCAGUUCGGAUUGAGGUCUGCAAUUCGACCUCAUGAAGCCGGAAUUGCUAGUAAACGCGAAUCAGCCAUGUCGCGUUGAAUACGUUCUCGGGUUUUGUACACACCGCCCGU